rnacentral:ncRNA from 2 species
CCACCAUCCAGAGCGGCUGAGAGAUCUGGCUCGACGACGCCGCAGCAACCCGCGGGCACCUGUGCCCGGCCGAGGGUGCUACCGCCAGGACCGAUGAGACGAGGGCUUCGAUGAG